rnacentral:lncRNA from 10 species
UUAGGAUCCAAAGUGGAUUGAAGAAGUCUCCAAUUGCCCUUAAGAAGCUCUGGGUGGGGAGCCUGAGUGGGAGCAGGAGAGGAACCAUUACCCCAGAGAAUUCAGCCUGGAGCCAAAGCAAGUGGGAAAAGGUCACCUCAUCCACCAUGUCUUUAGGCAGAACUGAUUCAGCACACACCAACAUAGAAGACUUUUAUUAAAGUUCCCAGCAUGGCGUGCCCUCUCUCUGCCUCUUUGCAUCCUACCCAUCCUUCACCACCUCGCCACUCCAUAAAGCCCUCUCUGAUCACACCAGUCUGCAGCGAUCUCGCCCUGCUCUGAACACAUAAGCGCUCAUUAUCUGCACCACUCAUUUUGCAAUUAAUCGUGUACUGCCUUGUGACAUCGCUUCUAGUGCUUUGUCUGACUGUUAUCCAACUUCUCACCUGCUGACGGAUGGAACCCUUGAUGACAAUAUGAGUGACUGGACAGCAGGAGCUACAGCUCCUACAUCUCUGUGUCCCUAACAUUACCUGGCAGAGGCCUCAACACCAACAUGGAAGACAGCUAGGUAUACUUCAAUUCUACCUCCUCUGAUAAAACUUAUCCCAGGCGUCCGGCUCCCACCUGAGAUUGCAGGAAUCUUCAAGCCUUAACAUAUCUACUGGGCCUCAAGAUGCAGCAGGCCCUCAGAGAGCCAUCGCAACCAUCACAACACUCCUGGAGAGCCCCAGGGAACGUACAUAUCUUCAUUCCACCUACGUUCUUAUGAAGUAGCUUGUCUUCUCCUUCAUUUAAAAAAUGAAGAAACUCUCCACUCUCACUGCUUCAUUUGACUACCCUUUAAAAAAAAAAGGAGAAACUGAGACCUAUAAAUUUUAUCAAAACCCUGAGCCUUGAAAAAAUAUAUAUAUAAGAAAUAAACAAAUAGAAAACAAGCAGGUGCUUCUCGGGAAUGUCAGUUUUUUUUUUUCCUUGACUUGGGUAGAUGAGGUGUCUGCUUUGCUUCUGUUAUUUAAACUGCGUACAUGUUUUCAGGCACUUUUAUAAGCAUGUUUCACAAUUUAAUUCAGCAGCACCUUUCCUGCUGAAGGUGGUAUCUGCUGACUGCAUGAACCCUUCUCUAGUGGGCUCUCUGCAGGAGUGGUGAAGGAACACACGCCACUCACAGUGGGAGGAAGCUGCCUGUGACCACCAGGAAAGGCGGAGAGCCAGCAGGGAGAACCACACAGGACUCAGUUGUGACUUUCUCUCAGAUAUCUGGCUUCGAAUUAUCUUUCCUGCUCUUCACUAAGUAGGCAGGAAGACCAGUGUAUGGUGUGACUGGAACAUGAA